AGAGGCCUCGCGAGGCAGGGCUAGAAGCUGUGGCCUCACCCUUGAGGCCCGGGCACUUCCCGUCUCCUCCCUUGCUCCCCUUCCUCACCCCAAUCCCUACAGCCUCCCGCGCAGCCUGAGCUCUAGGAUUGUGGGUUUUCCAUCCUCCGAAGACAUCACCUUUGCUCAUCUCCCAGGAGAGUCUCAUCCAAAGGAGGGGGGUGCUUUCUGCUUCAGCAGAUCCCAUCCCACCCUGGGAUCCGAGGGAGCAAUGGUGGGGCGAGUGAGGGUCUGCCGUAAAUAUCCCCCGACCACCCUCUGGGAAGGUGCUAGAGGCCACAGGCAAAUUUCAGUCUCCCCAUGGAAUAUCUGCUGUGCUGCUGCUGCUGCUGCUGCUGGUGCUGAACUCUUAGGGUCACCUGGAGCACCUUGGGAGCCAGAGAUGCAGCCAAAGAGUGAACAAUGGUACCAAUCCCAAGACCCAUGUGUUAAGAAGAAACCAGCCAAGACUCAGAUCAGGAUUGGGGAGUCCACCCCUCGUUUCCCUUCAGAGCAUUAUUUCCUUGUUUGCUAAGUGGGGCAGGAACUGGAAAACCCAGGCUAGCCCAUCUGAGAAGACUUUCCUGGAGAUGAGCUGGAGGAGGGAGGAGUAAGGCCUUGGAAGGAAACUCCAGGACAGACCAGAAGACAGUGGAAUAUCUCUAAAAUGCUGAAGGAAAAAAAAAGUCAACUCAGAAUUGUUUUUCCAGUGAAAGUAUUCUUCCAGAAUGAAGAUGAAAUAAAGCUAUUUUCAGAUAAAAGAAAACAGAGAUUCUUGUCGCCAGCAGACCUCCACUAUGAGAAGCGCUAAAGAAAGUUCUUUAGGACGGGCACGAUAGCUCACGCCUAUAAUCCCAGCAUUUUGGGAGGCCAAGGUGGGAGGAUUGCUUGAGCUCGGAAGAUGGAGGCUGCAGUGAGCCAUGAUGGUGCCACUGCACUCCAGCUUGGAUGACAGAGUGAGACGCUGUCUCAAAUUGGAAGAGCAGAGCUGCAGACAGGAAUAAGAAGAACGGUAAAUUUGAAGAUGGGACCGUCUAGUUGCAAGAAAACAAGCUCAGGGCUCCCACUGAUUCUACAUUACGGGCUGUGGGUUCCUUGAGGGAGGAAUUUUGUCCUGCAGGCUGUGGCAGCCCUAGGACUCAGCACAUCUAGGUGUCCACCUGCGUCUGUGGUGAGAAGCCUGAUCAUUGCCAUGUGACCGCCUCCUCACUGUUGGUACCUGGUUGUAGAGAGCAGCUCUGUCAGUUAUAUCACAGUCCUUCACAGGGCGCCUGGAUUUGCCCACCAGAUCUCCUCACCUCUUGCCCUUCACCUCCUGCUGUACCUACAAGGUCUCCCCGAUUCUCAUCUGCCCAUAAUCAUGGACACAGCCCCAGGAUGUGCAGGGUGAGUCCCCAGGGACCCUGACAGCAUGGGUACUCUUAUGACUGAGGGCGUUACACCAGGGAGAGGGAGCCGGGGAGACUUCCCAGAGAGCUGGUUGGGGGUUAUGAAAGUGGCCUCACGGCUGAUGCGGUGGCUCACACCUGUAAUCCCAGCACUUUGGGAGGCUGAGGCGGGCAGAUUGCUUGAGGUCAGGAGUUCGAGAUCAGCCUGGCGAACAUGGUGAAACCCAGUCUUUACUAAAAAUACAAAAAAAUUACGUGGGCCUGGUGGCACGUGCCUGUAGUCCUGGCUACUCAGGAGGCUGAGGCACGAGAAUCACUUGAACCUGGGAGGCGGAGGCUGCAGUGAGCCGAGAUUGCACCACUGCACUCCAGCCUGGGCGGCAGAGCAAGAUUCUGUCUC